GUAACAUAAACUCAUUAGUUUUAUAGGUUAGGGAAGAAAAUUAUGCCAAAAACAACAUUUUUAACAUUUUUUAAGUAAUUUUUCUAUGUUUCGGUAAUUUUUAAUUCCUGGUUACUAUUUUCUAGUCGCGUAGACAAGUAAAAAUCACCAGGAUUUGUUAUUUUUGACAGGACGCUCUGAAAAUGUCAAAAUUUUAACCUAAAUUCAUUUCUUUUAUGGGUUAGUAAGGAAAAUUAAACCUAAAACCUAAUUUUUUUCAAUUGCUACAAUGUGAUAAAACACAUCAAACUGAAGAUUAUCGAAUGCCACAGAUUGUUAAAACAUUGAAGCAUGUUCUGCUUGAGGAACAUUCAACUCGAAAUUAUAAAACAAAAAAAAAACUCGGACGCUCGCUUCUUCCGCGCUUCUAAACUCGUAGAGCAGUAACCAAACCAAUACCAAUACACGUGCACGGAAUGUACCGUAAUAAUUUCGGUUUAAUGCUGUGAGGUUGUUUUUUGUGUUAACAAAUUGCACAGACGCGUCGAAAACAAAUCGAAACAAAGGAAUAUUGCAAUCGAAUGGAAUUCAUAGCACGAACCUGGAAACACAUCCUUUGUCUCUGCGCGAGCCGAAUGUGUCCACCCAUUGCGCUGCUGAAUGAUGCACUGAAACAUUGCGCACCGAGGGAUGCUGAUGAUCACAUCAGAUGCAACACCACAUUAUGCACACACUGCCCGGCGCUGCCACACUUGAUUAGCUAAUCGGUGCGCGGUGAUUCUCAAAUGUGUCUACUGAUCUUCAACGCCACCACCGUACACAAACAAUGCGAUUAUUUGUUUGUAAACCGCACUACCACACGAAAUAAAACCACCCUCGCCCGGA